rnacentral:rRNA from 1 species
CUACGGGGGGCAGCAGUGAGAAAUAUUGGACAAUGGAGGAAACUCUGAUCCAGCCAUGCCGCGUGAGUGAAGAAGGCCUUAGGGUUGUAAAGCUCUUUCAAUUGUGAAGAUAAUGACGGUAGCAAUAGAAGAAGCUCCGGCUAAAUUCGUGCCAGCAGCCGCGGUAAUAAGAAUGGAGCAAGCGUUGUUCGGAAUAACUGGGCUUAAAGCGUAUGUAGGCGGACAAGAAAGUCAGGAGUGAAAUCCCAGGGCUCAACCCUGGAACUGCUCUUGAAACUCCUUGUCUAGAAUACUGGAGAGGUUGGGAGAAUUCCUAGUGUAGAGGUGAAAUUCGCAGAUAUUGGGAGGAAUACCAGUGGCGUAGGCGCCCAACUGGACAGUUAUUGACGCUCAGAUACGAAAGCGUGGGGAGCAAACAGGAUUAGAUACCCUAGUAGUC